UACAGAGGUCUCGAGCGUUGUUCGGAUUCAUUGGGCGUAAAGGGUGCGUAGGUGGGCAGGUAAGUCAGUGGUGAAAUCUCCGGGCUUAACUCGGAAACUGCCAUUGAUACUAUCUUUCUUGAAUACCGUGGAGGUCAGCGGAAUAUGUCAUGUAGCGGUGAAAUGCUUAGAUAUGACAUAGAACACCAAUUGCGAAGGCAGCUGGCUACACGAAUAUUGACACUGAUGCACGAAAGCGUGGGGAUCAAACAGG
rnacentral:rRNA from 1 species